GGGCAGCUAGCUCAGUUGGCAGAGCGUCUCCUUGACGUGGAGAAGGUCACAGGUUCGAAUCCUGUGCUGCCCACCA
rnacentral:tRNA from 1 species